GGACAGCUGGCCGAGCGGUUGAAGGCACCUGAUUCGAAAUCAGGCAAACCUGCAAGGGUUUCGGGGGUUCGAAUCCCUCGCUGUCCGCCA
rnacentral:tRNA from 1 species